rnacentral:rRNA from 1 species
AUUGAACGCUGGCGGCAGGCCUAACACAUGCAAGUCGAGCGGAUGAAGGGAGCUUGCUCCUGGAUUCAGCGGCGGACGGGUGAGUAAUGCCUAGGAAUCUGCCUGGUAGUGGGGGAUAACGUCCGGAAACGGGCGCUAAUACCGCAUACGUCCUGAUGGAGAAAGUGGGGGAUCUUCGGACCUCACGCGAUCAGAUGAGCCUAGGUCGGAUUAGCUAGUUGGUGGGGUAAAGGCCUACCAAGGCGACGAUCCGUAACUGGUCUGAGAGGAUGAUCAGUCACACUGGAACUGAGACACGGUCCAGACUCCUACGGGAGGCAGCAGUGGGGAAUAUUGGACAAUGGGCGAAAGCCUGAUCCAGCCAUGCCGCGUGUGUGAAGAAGGUCUUCGGAUUGUAAAGCACUUUAAGUUGGGAGGAAGGGCAGUAAGUUAAUACCUUGCUGUUUUGACGUUACCAACAGAAUAAGCACCGGCUAACUUCGUG